UGGGGAAUAUUGGACAAUGGGGGCAACCCUGAUCCAGCCAUGCCGCGUGAGUGAAGAAGGCCUUAGGGUUGUAAGGCUCUUUCAGUCGUGACGAUGAUGACGGUAGCGACAGAAGAAGCCCCGGCUAACUCCGUGCCAGCAGCCGCGGUAAUACGGAGGGGGCAAGCGUUGUUCGGAUUUACUGGGCGUAAAGCGCGCGUAGGCGGUUUUGUAAGUCGGAUGUGAAAGCCCCGGGCUUAACCUGGGAAUUGCAUUCGAUACUGCUCAACUAGAGUAUGGUAGAGGGAAGUGGAAUUUCCGGUGUAGCGGUGAAAUGCGUAGAUAUCGGAAGGAACACCAGUGGCGAAGGCGACUUCCUGGGCCAAUACUGACGCUGAGGUGCGAAAGCGUGGGGAGCAAACAGGAUUAGAUACCCCCGUAGUCC
rnacentral:rRNA from 1 species